AUUCUUAAUCAAAUUGAUCAACAUCAACAACGAGCAAAGUGUGGUGCCCUACUUAUUUUUCCCCCAACAACUCGUCCCUCUCACUCAUUCAUUCAGAAUCCCAAAAAACAAAAUGGUAAGCAUUUCAGUGAGAAGAAGAAAGCCCAGUUAAGAUCACGCUCACCAACCUUGCUCUCUACGCAUUCUUCUUUUCUUUCCUCCGCUUUUUCCCUAGCAAAAAAGUAACUGUUGGAUGAUUAAAAAUGGCGACCAAACAAAAAGUAGCAGCGGCCUAUCGUGCAAUGCAAAAUCUUGAGAUUCCUGAAGCAAAAGUAAAACCGGUACUAAAGAAACUCCUCAAACUGUAUGAUAAAAACUGGGAGCUUAUUGAGGAAGAGAACUAUAGAGCUCUAGCAGAUGCUAUAUUUGAAAGCAAUGACUUUGAGGAGCCAGAAGAGCAAAAGAAAAACAAGAAAGUUAAUGAAGAAGAGAUGGAGGACGAAGAAGCUUCGAUGAAUGAUGAAGCUGCUCGACCUCUGAAAAGAUUGAGAUUAAGAGGACAAGAGAGUCAGCAUGGGGAUUGUGUGACAAACGAUUCCCCUAGCUCAGCUGCUUCUCCUUUAAAGAAGCUUCGAAUAGAAAAGGCCACAACACUCCAGAGUUUCCCUGCACAACAGCCUCAAAACAAAGCAGUGUCAUCUGAUGGAAAUGUGAGGAUUGAAGCACGUCUAGGUCCCAUGCGAGAUGCUAGUUCUGACAGGGGAAAGCAACCUGCAUCGCCUCAAGUUUCUCUUGGAGGGAGAAGGCAUAUAUCUGAAAGAGGAUCUCCAUCUAAACAACCAUCAGUUGAACCUGGGAAGUCUCUGUUGCCAAGCAACCAAACGCCUCAUGCUUAUGCAUUGAUCAUACCUAAAGAUGAGCCUGUUGAUGAAGUGCCUGAAUAUGAGGUUCCCAUUGCAGUGAUUCCUCCUGAACCAUCAAGUUUAAGGGACUCAUCAAUGAAGAACGGCACUACUAGAAAGCAAGCUGGCCAUGUCCCUGUGGCAUCAUCACAACACAGAGAUAGAGUUAGAAAUGAAGAUAUACGUCCUUCCUCGAAUAAAGAAGUGGCUUCUAAUGUUGUGAUAGCCUCUUCAGCUAAGGGAGAAGUAAAACUUUCUCUUAGCUGCAACUCAGCUAUUGCAGGACCAGAUUUUCGCAUGGCUAAUCAGGAACAACUUCUAAAGAUGAUGGAGGAUAAAUGUCUGCGAUCAUAUAAAAUCACUGACCCAAAUUUUUCGAUCGCGAAAAUGUUGAGAGAUAUAUGUGAUUGCAUGUUGGAAUUCAGUACUGAUUCAAAUGGUGACUCAAAAGAAGGUUCUAUGACAAGAUCAGGUGUUGAUGUGUUGAAGGAAUCAGAGGCACAUGACACUCCGAUAGUUGAGGGAAAUAAAGAAUUGGAUAUAUUGUCUCACUCAUCAAAUGGAUCAGUUCAUGUUAAUUCUUUUUCUGCCUUGGUUUCACCUCGAAGUCCCUUUUCGCCAACCAACCAGAGUAGUCUGGAUGAUGGUGUACUACUUUCCAAGAUGGAUAAGUCUCAUGAUUUUUCGCAAAGCGAUGGCAAAAAGCAGCUAGAAGAUCCCGUGUCUCCAAAUUCACGUAGUUUAGUGAUUGUUCCACAUCAUCAGCUUACAGCCGAUGAUGCAAGGUCUUUUCAUGAUGUUAAUGACCUCACGAAAGGAAAUGAAAAUGUUCAAAUUUCAUGGGUGAAUGAAACUACUGAUGAUUUUCCACCAUCUUUCAACUACAUACCCCAAAACCUUGUGUUCCAAGAUGCUCAUGUUAACAUUUCUCUAUCUCGUAUUGGGACUGCGGACUGUUGUUCCUGUGUAGGCAGCUGUGUCUAUUCAACACAUUGUGCCUGUACAGAUAAAGCUGGGGGCGAAUUGGCAUAUACUGCUCAAGGCCUAAUGAAAGAAGAGACUUUGGAAGAGUGCAUUGCUAUCAGUCACAACCCCCAACAGCAUUACUUUUAUUGCAAAGAUUGCCCACUUGAAAGAUCCAAGAAUGAUGGUUGUUUGGAACCAUGCAAAGGACAUUUGAAGAGGAAGUUUAUUAAAGAAUGUUGGAGCAAAUGUGGCUGUGGGAAACAAUGUGGCAAUCGGGUUAUCCAGCGAGGAAUAACAUAUAACUUGCAGGUAUUUUUCACUUCUGAAGAAAAAGGAUGGGGUCUUCGUACCUUAGAGGACCUGCCAAAAGGUGCAUUUGUGUGUGAGUUUGCUGGAGAGAUUUUAACCAUCGGAGAGUUGCAUGAGAGGAACAUGAAAUGCACUGAAAAUGGGAAGUCUAUGUACCCAAUUCUACUAGAUGCAGAUUGGGAUUCAGGAUUUGUGAAGGAUGAAGAAGCUUUAUGCCUAGAUGCAGCAUCCUUUGGUAACAUUGCUAGAUUUAUCAAUCACAGAUGUUUUGAUGCAAACUUGGUUGAAAUCCCAAUUCAAAUUGAGUGUCCAGAUCGUUACUACUAUCAUUUUGCCCUUUUCACUUCCAGAAAUAUAGCAGCGCAGGAAGAGCUCACCUGGGAUUACGGCAUUGACUUUGAUGACCAUGAUCAGCCUGUCAAGCUGUUCCAAUGCAGAUGUGGCAGUAAGUUCUGCAGGAAUAUGAAGCGAUCAACCAGAAUUUCUGUAGAAGGAUCAUGUGUAAGCCAUGAUUAGUAAUCGAAGCUGUUCUCUGCUAAUUCUUUUGCUUGCUUGAUUGUUGAAAAGGCUAUGGUUACUUACCAAAUUGAACCACUAGAUCUGUAACAAUUGCGAGGUGAUAGCUGGUCUCCAGUAAACCAUUUUGUUGACUCACCUAGGCCGUGGAACAAGACCUAGCCUACUUUAGUGAUGUUUUCUUUUGGGUUUUUUUUUUUUUUUUAAUGGUGGCUAGGCAAUAGGUACUUUGUACAGCUUUGUGGGAAUCUUGUCCAAAGAAAGACAAAUGUAACAACAAUCAUUUUGGUUCUUAAUUAAGAUACAUGUAUCGGCAGUUUGCGCUUCCAUUUAUAAUUAUAUCAAAAUGGUCCUUCAAUGUUAUCUGUUUUUGGUACAUCAAUGUCAAUUUGUAUAGGAUAAAACAGAUAUUUGAUGGAUACUUUUGAUAUAUUUAUUAAUGGAGGCUAAGCAGUGAAGUUGAAUAUAUUUUACUGCCGGAUUUGCAGGGCUUUGUAACAGUUGUUGUUGCGUAGUAGUAUUAUUAGUGUAUGUUUCUUGGUUUUA